AAAUCAGUUAUCGUUUAUUUGAUAGUACCUUACUACUUGGAUAACCGUGGUAAUUCUAGAGCUAAUACAUGCUAAAAACCCCAACUUCGGGAGGGGUGUAUUUAUUAGAUAAAAAACCAAUGCCCUUCGGGGCUCCUUGGUGAUUCAUGAUAACUUCUCAGAUCGCAUAGCCUUGUGCUGGCGACGGUUCAUUCAAAUUUCUGCCCUAUCAACUUUCGAUGGUAAGGUAUUGGCUUACCAUGGUUUCAACGGGUAACGGGGAAUUAGGGUUCGAUUCCGGAGAGGGAGCCUGAGAAACGGCUACCACAUCCAAGGAAGGCAGCAGGCGCGCAAAUUACCCAAUUCCGAUACGGAGAGGUAGUGACAAUAAAUACUGAUACAGGGCUCUUUUGGGUCUUGUAAUUGGAAUGAGUACAAUUUAAACCUCUUAACGAGGAACAAUUGGAGGGCAAGUCUGGUGCCAGCAGCCGCGGUAAUUCCAGCUCCAAUAGCGUAUAUUAAAGUUGUUGCAGUUAAAAAGCUCGUAGUUGAACCUUUGGCCUGGCUGGCAGGUCCGCCUCACCGCGUGCACUUGUCCGGCCGGGCCUUUUCUUCUGGAGAACCGCAUGCCCUUCACUGGGUGUGUUGGGGACCAGGACUUUUACUUUGAAAAAAUUAGAGUGUUCAAAGCAGGCCUUUGCUCGAAUACGUUAGCAUGGAAUAAUAGAAUAGGACGUGCGGUCCUAUUUUGUUGGUUUCUAGGACCGCCGUAAUGAUUAAUAGGGACAGUCGGGGGCAUCAGUAUUCAAUUGUCAGAGGUGAAAUUCUUGGAUUUAUUGAAGACUAACUACUGCGAAAGCAUUUGCCAAGGAUGUUUUCAUUAAUCAGUGAACGAAAGUUAGGGGAUCGAAGACGAUCAGAUACCGUCGUAGUCUUAACCAUAAACUAUGCCGACUAGGGAUCGGGCGGUGUUUCUAUUGUGACCCGCUCGGCACC
rnacentral:rRNA from 1 species